UUUCCUGCAUUUUAGGAGUAGGAAAACAGGGGAAGCGUAAUUGAGUUUUUGGUUUGCAUUUGCAGUAUUUGUGACUCAUUCACUGAUUUAAAUUGCGUAUAUUAGUCAUCUUGUGUUUCCAUCAUGAUAAAUAUUCUUUAUUUAUUUAUUUAUAAUAAUUAAUGUUUACAAACUGUAAUUUUAAUUUUGCUUCAAACAACUCUGCAAAGGAACUAACAAUCUCUGUCGAACAAGACUGCAUAUUCAAAUGGAAAAAGCAUAAAAAAAUAAAGGUGAAAUCUGUCAGACAACUGUGUGACCUUUACAGUCGCACAAGGCAAGCUUGGAACGAUCCUCUGCGGUCGAAGUGAAACCAGUGAGGAAACCACAAGACCAAUAAUCACGCUCAGAUCACACAGUCGUGGUUCAUCAACGAGACUUGGAACCCUAUCUUCUUCGAGCUUAAGGACAAAGAGAUGCAGCAGUCAAUGGUGGUGGUAAUUUGCUGCUUUUGUACACUAUGUAUUAGGUGAUUGGAAGGUGGUUUCGUAAGUUCUGAAGAACGGUGGUCCAGACCAGAGAUCCCAGAGGCAGUACAAGUUGUUGAAGUUUAUUACUCUCGCAAGUUCUUAGAACGCUUAGAAUGCCAUGUUCUUGUCAUGGGAUCGCUUCAUUAAUGCCUUCAGUUUUGCCUUUGCCUGAAGAACUAUGUAACAGCUAAGAUUAAUCCCAGGUUUGUAUUGACAAACGAACUCCGUUUUCCUCUCCUGCAAUCAGUUUCACUACGGCA